rnacentral:rRNA from 1 species
UACAGAGGUCUCAAGCGUUGUCCGGAUUUAUUGGGCGUAAAGCGCUCGCAGGUGGUUCGUCGCGUCGUGCGUGAAAGACCCCGGCUCAACUGGGGAGGGUCGUGCGAUACGGGCGAACUGGAGGCCAGUAGGGGGAUGCGGAAUUCCGGGUGUAGUGGUGGAAUGCGUAGAGAUCCGGAGGAACACCAGCGGCGAAGGCGGCAUCCUGGACUGGUCCUGACACUCAGGAGCGAAAGCGUGGGGAGCGAGUCCGG